rnacentral:lncRNA from 1 species
CAGUGAUCAUUCCCCUUAUGGCUGUGUGUAAUAGCUGCUGUAGUCUCUGGGUCCCCCGGUAGCUCUCUCUCUCUGUGUCCCUGCUGGCUGUGAGCGAGCUUUACGAUACAAUGUAUCUACCCGUAGCCCAGCUGGAACCCGGAGCUAUCUAUCCAGGCUGCCCCUCACACAUUACUACACUCCCAGCACUGAGAGCUCCACACCGGACUGCCUCUGCUUCAUCUCUGCUAUUGAGCGGGGAUCUAACUUAGCUCCAUGGCUAACUGUCCAAGCUCCCUUAGAACAAAGCUCCAUUGCUAACUGUCCCCGCUCCCUUAGAACAGAGCUCCAUGACUAACUGUCCCCGCUCCCUUAGAACAGAGCUCCAUGACUAACUGUCCAAGCUCCCUUAGAAGAGAGCUCCAGGGCUAACUGUCCCCGGUCCCUUAGAACAGAGCUCCAUGACUAAAUGUCCCAGCUCCCUUAGAACUAUCCCAGUUCCCUUAGAACAGAGCUCCGUUGCUGUCUCAGCUCCCUUAGAACAGAGCUCCAUGGCUGUCUCAGCUCCCUUAGAAUAGAGCUCCAUGGCUGUCUCAGCUCCAUUAGAACAGAGCUCCAGGACUAACUGUCCAAGCUCCCUUAGAACAGAGCUCCAUGACUAACUGUCCAAGCUCCCUUAGAACAGAGCUCCAUGGCUAACUGUCCAGCUCCCUUAGAACAGAGCUCCAUGACUAACUGUCCAAGCUCCCUUAGAACAGAGCUCCAUUGCUAUCUAGCAAUAACUCAGCUCCCUUAGAACAGAACUCCAUAACUAACUGUUUCUGCACCAGCUUCCAUUAGAGCAGAGCUCCAUGGCUAGCUGUUUCUGCACCAGCUCUCAUCAGAACAGAGCUCCAUGGCUAACCGACUCUACUUGAGCUCUCUUUGAACAGAGUUCCAUUGCUAUCUGACACUAGCUCAGCUCCCCUUGAACAGAGCUCCAUAACUAUCUGACAAUAAAUCCGCUCCCUUAGAACAGAGCUCCGUGCCUUGCUGGUUCUACCUUGUCUGGAAUAUACCAGAGCUCCAAAUAGCUCCAGGCAUGAGGUAUCUGAGCACAUUCACCAGAGUCUCACCCCAGACUCGCUGUCACUUUGACCAGACACUAAAGUCCAGUCUUUAGCUGACUGUCUUAACUCAGUCACCAGAUUCCUAUGAAAUGGUGGCUGUCCCUUAACUCAGUCACCAGAUUCCCAUCACAGACUGACUGUCUAAUAGCUCCAAUAACCAGAGUCCCAUCCCAGACAGGCUGUCUCUUAACUCUCUCAUCAGAAUCCCAUCCCAGGGUGGUUGUCCCUUAACUCCAGUAACAAGAAUCCUACCCCAGGCUGACUGUCUAAUAGAGUCCCAUCCCAGGCCGACUGUCUAAUUGCUCCAAUAACCGGUGUCCCAUCCCAGCCUGGCUGUCUAAUAGAGUCCCAUUUAAAGCUGGCUGUCCCUGUUAAGCAAAGAGUUUCCUUUGCUAUCUCUACUGACACAGACCCAGCCUGCCUCUCUCACAGCUGCCCUGAGGCAUAGCCCUAAAGCCCAGUCUCUGUGCAGGAUGCUGGGGUUAGGAAUGCCCACUGACUGCUUCUGUUUGCCAUCCCAUCCCAC